rnacentral:rRNA from 1 species
GAGUUUGAUCAUGGCUCAGAUUGAACGCUGGCGGCAUGCCUUACACAUGCAAGUCGAACGGCAGCAUGAUCUAGCUUGCUAGAUUGAUGGCGAGUGGGCGAACGGGUGAGUAAUACAUCGGAACGUGCCCUGUAGUGGGGGAUAACUAGUCGAAAGAUUAGCUAAUACCGCAUACGACCUGAGGGUGAAAGUGGGGGACCGCAAGGCCUCAUGCUAUAGGAGCGGCCGAUGUCUGAUUAGCUAGUUGGUGGGUAAAGGCCCACCAAGGCGACGAUCAGUAGCUGGUCUGAGAGGACGAUCAGCCACACUGGGACUGAGACACGGCCCAGACUCC